CGUUAUUCUGAGUUUAUUAAAUCAAUAAUUAAUGUAUUGAAUGAUGCUGAACAUAGCUAACAGCCAUGUUAUUUCAAAUAAGAAAAUGAAAUCAGAUUAAAUUUUAAUUUAACAAACCUUUGAUUCGUUUUUUCUGCUUCUGAGUAAUGAUGAAACAGGUACAUUUAUUUCAGUUUCAUGUUUGAGUAUUGAUUUUUAUUUUGCCAGGAGAGGUAGACUUUUAUUGGCUAUUUUCUGAAAUAAAACAGCUGUAAUCAAAGAGACACGCUGGUGAGCUGGCUGCAUGGCUGAUGUGAGCUCUGCUUAUGCUGUGGUCUGGAAGAUUUGAUUUUAACUCUUGAUGCUGCAAGUUAGCUCCCUUUUUUGCUCAUAGAGAUCAUAGUGUGGUGACUUUUGUUUUAUGAAAGCCAAAGGGCUGUAAGGUUACACUGAAGGGAAUGAGGAAUACGUACUGUGGGAGCUGUCUGCUGCAGGUGCCAAUGUUAAUUAAGAAGCCCAGUUGUGCAUGCCUCUAAUUCACUGCGUGAUCGAUCAGUUGUAUCUGUGUUUGUGAGUCAGAUUAACAGGACUACACCAAUGUUCUUUCUAGUUACCCAUCAAUGUUUUAGUCCUGCUGGUGAGUGUCACAGAAAUAUUCUCUCUUAUUCUGGUUUGUGCUGCAGAGUACAGAGACAAACAAACUGAUGACUGAGGAAGGCUGUACUUUACAAUGGUAUUUCAGCUGAAAAAACUUCUUAUCUGUACAAGGCUGCAGAAGAGAAUAGCUUCUGGAAACAAAGUCCUUGAGUGAAACUCUCUUCAAAUAUGCAAAAAGUCUCCUGUGUUAGUGUGUGGGAGUGGGAUGGACGGCACCGUGUUCAGCUUGUGGAGCUGGCAGACAACAUGAAAUCACAUGGGCAGCACACUCAGAACAACUAAAAGUACCAGCAGGUAAUUAAUUCUCUCAGGUGUUCUUUUUUGGUUACCACCCAAAAAAUCUCUUAUUAAAGGAGGGCAAUACUAGAGAUCCAAUGACAAACAGUAUUGCCCUUUUUAGUUUGGCAGCCUGUAGAGAUACCUUGAGUAAUGUUCCUUGUGUUUUCCCACGUUGCAGCUCUUGGUGACAAAAAUGUGAAAACUUUGCACUCACUGCCAACACAGGGAGAUGUGAAGAGACAGACUUGCUCUGCAAAGAUGGUUUAGGUCAGCUAUACUGACAGGUUUCUUGGCAUUUUGAUUUAGCUGUUGUGUUCUCUGAGAAAAAAAUGUCCAGAAUCCUUCAUCUUUCAGCAAUAGGAAUAAAAAUCUUAUUGCAGCAGUUGUGGCUUAGCAGCUAUACACUCAGUAAGAGCCUUCCCUUCUUGCCUCCAGAUUCCAGGAACAGGGAUUUGGGCUGUUAAAAUUCUGUGUGUUGUGGUCUUUGCUUGAUGUUGCAUUCUGAGUCCAGCAGAGGUGGGGGCUAUGCGACAGGUUUGUCCCAGGUAGGGAGCAAAGCUCCAAGAAAUACUACUUGCAAGAAAUCUCAAGAUUGCUUCAGUGCUGGAUGUCACAGAGAGGCAUUGUUUGAAGUUAUUGGUACAGGGGAGUAAGUGAGAUUAAAAAGUGAAGAGCUGAGAUGCAAACAGUGGAUGAAGCAGACGGAAGUAUGAAGCUUUGAUCACCAAUCAAAGUAUCAAACUGCAACAGAAGCAGACUGGCACUUCAAGGGGAACAAGGUGAAAUCAGAGUUUCUCAUUGCUAUGUUUCAGACAGAAUCACAGUAGAAAGCAAUCAAAUCAGCAGUAGCUUUGAGACCCAUGACUCUGCUAUAGGGGAAGAUAUCAAGAAAGGAUCACCAUGUAUUUGAGAUUUGUAUCAGCCAUGUCCAGCUCUAAGCUAUGCAGUUCUGCAGAAGUACAGCAAGAACUACACCUAAACAGACUGCAGGUCCUCUGCCUCUCCGUCCUACAGCAUCUCUGAUUGCCAGCCAGUAGUGUAUGCGGGAUCCUCAAAGUACAGAGAGAGCAAGGGAGGCCUUCCCGGGAGACUGGAGCUUGACGGUUGCUGCGGAAGGUGAGGGACUGCAGGAAUAUUGUUGUUCAGACGAAGUAUAUGCUGUGUUUUCAACAGUUUCUGCCAGACUUGGAGGUACAGUGAUUAACUAAACAGAGAGUUUGUCUCUCUUCUGUUAUAUUACCACGUGUGAAGUUCACUCAUUGGGAUUUCAUAGGACAAUGGCACAUACGUGUACCUGAAACAGAGUGAAUGACAUGGUGAUAAUUGGUAUAAAACUAUGUUGACCGGUCCUGAUUAAGCAUAUUUGCUCCAGAGGGCUCAUGCUAAAUCAGCUGAUGUCACGGGAAUGAACAGCAAUUUUACCACAAUGCUUGUGCAAAUUUCAGGGACGUUAAUAAUUAUUUAUCACCUCCCACCUACCCCCUGGUGUGAGCAUUUUCAAGUGAAGUAAUAAGAUGGCAAUUAAAAUUCAGGAUGCAAUAAAGCUAGAAUAGAGGUGUGUCCUAUUGCCUUACAGUUACAGGGAUUCAAGUUCUUUUGUCAAGUCACGGCACUUAAAACUCCUCCCCUUUCAUUUUGUUAAAAGCUGUUAAAGACAACAGCACGUUUCACCUGUGUCUCUCCUACAGAGUAGAAAGAGCACUGAUGCAUAAAUGAAAGCAAUCUAUUUUAAGUAAUGUUUAAAGCUCCAGUAAAUGUGAAAUUUUCAGGCCAGGGCCUGUGAAGAGCCAAGAGCCUAUUAUUAUGCCAUUUCUCAACUUCUUAAUGAAGAAACAGUUACUUGUUUUGUUACAUGCACAGGUAAAUAAUACACGCACACAUUCUCUGCCAACUAGAUCAAGAUGAAUGAGGUAAGAUCUAAUCCUGAAUGAAGCUGCACAUUCUUGUAAUUCUGAUGUGAAUAUCAUUAGGCCUUGCUAAUGUUUCUUUUAUGCUUGCUCUGCAGAUGUUUGUGUAAAUUUGGUAGCACAAUAUCAAAUUUAAUAAAAAAUAAUCUUUAAAAAGGCCCAGUAUUUUAAUAGAUGUGUGUCUGGGCAAAUGAGUUUUUUAAUAUAUGAAUAUAAUCAGUGGGUAUAGUUAAAAGUUGGUGUAAUGAUGUCCCUUGAUAAUUGCUAUUUCUCUCUCCAAGAACAACAGAUCAUACUCAGAACAUUUACAAUCAAUUAUUUGCACAAUUAUUUGAAUGCUUUAGCUAAAACAAGUCAAUGAAUUUGCUGCCUUCUUACAGAGAUAAUCAUAACCAACUGAAAAAGUUUGUUAAUUCAUUCAGCUCUAAUGUAAACAUGCUUUAACAAUAAAAGCAUUUCUAAUGAUUUCAAUGGAAAUUUUGAUGUUGACACUGUCAGACUGAAACAGUAAGCGGUGGUCUGGCUAGGUUACAUCUUAAAAUCUGACUUUUUUUGAAAUGCUAUAUAUAUAGGUAUAUGAAUAUGAAAUAUUUUCAUAUUUAAUAAUAGCACUCAUCGCAUCAGAUACCUUUUAUUAUAGUUCUAGAAUUUCUGUGGAGGUUAUGGGCUUAAGGUUUAAUCCAUGGCCAUUAAGUAUAAUAUUCUUUGACUUGUAUUUGCUUGGAAAAACUAAUAUUUAGAAAAUAAAAUACAUAAGGAGAAGUAAGGUGUUUCCCGAGGCUCUUUUUCAUAUUGCAGAGAGAUGAUGAUAAGACAUCCUUAGAUACAUUAUGUCUCUUUUGUAUGAAGUGUCUUUUUACUGUGAUAGAAGUAGCACUGGAUUAGACAUGUUAUGUGGGGUUUACAAAACAAAUGUAUUUAAAAAUCAGCUUUAAUUCAAAGUUAGUUUCAGUAUCUACAAACAGUGUGCCAUUUAAGUCACUUUUUUUCCUUUCUUGUUUUGUGCCUGUGCUUUCAGAAACUGUCCUUUCAAAAAAAAAAAAAGAAAAAAAAAAGAAAAAAGAAAAAGAAGAGUAAAAACAUUCUGCUAUGGCCAAAUUCUGCACUCACUUGUGUUAGCUGAACCACUGAGAUCAGGGCAGGUCUCCAAAUUGCCUGAUGGGCUUUAGAUUGAUUUCUGUACCACGGGUACAUUUGCUCAUUUACAACCAUUCUCAGCAUUUUCAAAAGAGAAUGCCUAAAAGUGCAUAAACAUGACAGUGUCCAGAUGUAUGGGGCACACAGUUCAGCUCACAAAAUGUGUGUGGAAUUUUCCCAUGAUGGAGUGACUGUUGUGAACUAGGCUCUUUGGCAAAUAAUUUCCCGCUGAGGAACCAGAUGGACAGGCACCCAAGCAGAAUACAUCCUUGUUUAAAUCAAUAUGAACUGGAGCUUCUUGGUAAUUCAGUUAAUGAGAUGCAACUUCGAUUUUAUCUUGUAUUUUCAUCUUGGAAAGAAUUUUAGCAUUAAAUGUGCAUAAAUAAUGAUAUUUGUUCCCCAAAGAUGGUUGUUGUCAGGACAGACUGAAAAAGCAAUACAAAGUCAAUUAAAAACUUCUCUAAAGAAAUGACUUUGGAUGGACAACAUAACUUAUGCGUGCAGCUCAGGAUGAAGGCAUAAAGAAACGAGAAGGUCAUUUCUGAUGAAAACUGUCUAUUCUAUUGAUGCCAACAUUAAUACUCACUUGUGUAGCUGUGGAAAGUCAAGAACUCUUGUGAAGAAUCAUGCUGCAUCAUCAUGGCAAAUGGAGAAAAAAAUUACAAAUAUCUUCACCUGUGGUUAAAGAUCUCAGCCUCCUCCUUUCUCCACCAUGACCACCCAGCUGACCGUCCCAGUGCUCCAUGAAGAAACUCCAUUGAGACAUCCUCAUUUUCAUCCAGCCACUGAAUGACAAAUGGUUCAAACCACCUGAAAAAUAAAAACAAUCUUUUAAAGUACAUUCUUUAAAGAUUUGUCACUGUGACUUCAUGUCUGUUCUAGCUGCCAUAAGAUACUGUGGCUACCAAAACGCAUUUCAGCUUAACCCUGCUAUUCUAUCUGGUUUUCCCAAGUGAUGUAGUUUGCAGUGGCCAUCAGAGAAAUGCACUCAUGUUUUGCAGAGGAUCAUAUUCAUAUUUAUUUUGCAAAGCGUCUUUUCCAGUAUUGCUUCUUUUUUAACAUUUAUUUGCAUGUGAAAGAAUGUGGAGAAAGCUUUUUUUUAAAUAAAAUGUCAGAUGUUUAA